ensembl:lncRNA
GUGGGGGUGGGUGGGCAGAAGCAGGAGAGAGCAGGAGAAAGGGCAGAAGGAGACUGCCUCUGAGACCUUCCAUUGUUCUCCAGGUCAAAGUAUUCAGCAUGCCACUGCACCAUAUUUUGGGGCGUCAUGGUCAUUUGUUAAGCAUCAACAAAAUAGUGCUGUAUAGCUGAGAGGAUGUGCAGAGAGAACAAUACAUUCAACGAGACCGAAGAUGUCUGAGAACUGUCACGGAUAGAGAUUUAUUACAUUCAGAAGCCAGAAGACUCAUCUUUCCAAGAAUAUUAAAAUGGUUUGCACAAGACAGAAAGGACACUAGGAAUUCCUUUAGAUGCUUGAGUCCAAGUUCCAUUUUGCUACCUUUCCACUGGAAGACCUUCAGC